GGGUCACGUGGCUAGAGGUGAGUGAGGGAGAGGUGUGCACGGGGACACCUCAUCCUCACUCACCUCCAGCCACGUGAA
rnacentral:pre_miRNA from 1 species